rnacentral:tRNA from 1 species
GCCCUCGUGGUGUAAUGGUCAGCACACUCGACGCCUAUUCGAGAAGUCCGUGGUUCGAGUCUCGGCGAGGGCA